ncrna:unclassified sequences RAGATH-28 RNA
CCGGAGUUGAUACGUCCUCCGGAGCGUGACCGGCGGGUAUAGAAGGGUGAAAACCGGGCGGAAACGGCCGGAUGGCGAAGC